GGCAUGUUAGCUCAGUUGGUUAGAGCGUGGUGCUAAUAAUGCCAAGGUCGUGGGUUCGAUCCCCAGCAUGCUUCU